UACGGAGGGUGCGAGCGUUAAUCGGAAUUACUGGGCGUAAAGGGUGCGUAGGUGGUUUGGUAAGUUAUGUGUGAAGUCCCUGGGCUCAACCUGGGAAGGUCAUAUAAGACUGCUAGACUCGAGUAUGGGAGAGGGUAGUGGAAUUUCCGGUGUAGCGGUGAAAUGCGUAGAGAUCGGAAGGAACACCAGUGGCGAAGGCGGCUACCUGGCCUAAUACUGACACUGAGGCACGAAAGCGUGGGGAGCAAACAGG
rnacentral:rRNA from 1 species